AACGCGAAGAACCUUACCAAGGUUUGACAUGGCCGGAAAACUCGCAGAGAUGCGGGGUCCUUCGGGGCCGGUCACAGGUGGUGCAUGGCUGUCGUCAGCUCGUGUCGUGAGAUGUUGGGUUAAGUCCCGCAACGAGCGCAACCCUCGUCCUAUGUUGCCAGCGGGUUAUGCCGGGGACUCAUGGGAGACUGCCGGGGUCAACUCGGAGGAAGGUGGGGAUGACGUCAAGUCAUCAUGCCCCUUAUGUCUUGGGCUGCAAACAUGCUACAAUGGCCGGUACAAAGCGCUGCGACAUCGUGAGAUGAAGCGAAUCGCAUAAAGCCGGUCUCAGUUCGGAUCGGGGUCUGCAACCCGGCCCCGUGAAGCCGGAGUCGCUAGUAAUCGCGGAUCAGCAACGCCGCGGUGAAUACGUUCCCGGGCCUUGUA
rnacentral:rRNA from 1 species